rnacentral:pre_miRNA from 1 species
AUACAGAUCUCCUGGGAACCUUGUUAAAACACAGAUUCUGACUCAGCAGUUCAGGGAGGAGCCUGGGACUCUGCAUUUCUAACAAGCUCCCAGUGAUCCUGAU